rnacentral:rRNA from 1 species
GUAAAGGGUGCGUAGGCGGCCUCGUAUGUCGGAUGUGAAAGCUUACGGCUCAACCGUGAAAUGGCAUCCGAAACUGCGGAGCUAGAGUACAGGAGAGGAGAGCGGAAUUCUCGGUGUAGCGGUGAAAUGCGUAGAUAUCGAGAGGAACGCCGGAGGCGAAGGCGGCUCUCUGGAAUGAUACUGACGCUGAGGCACGAAAGCUGGGGUAGCGAACAGGAUUAGAUACCCUGGUAGUCCCAGCCGUAAACGUUGUGCACUUGGUGUGGGAGGAUUGUCACCUUCCGCGCCGGAGCUAACGCGUUAAGUGCACCGGACGGGGAGUACGGCCGCAAGGCUAAAACUCAAAGGAAUAGACGGGGGCCCGCACAAGCGGUGGAGCAUGUGGCUUAAGUCGAUGCAACGCGAAGAACCGAACCAGGGCUCGACAUGGUGCUGCUGUCCCCCAGAAAGGGGGGAGUACUUGAA